ACAGCUACAUCACGUUUGAAACAUCGCUUCCCGUAAGAUCACCUUAAUUAAGCAACGUCGAACUUGGUCAGUACCUAGAUGGGUGACCCCUUGGGGAUACCAAGUGCUGUAA